AACGCGAAGAACCUUACCUACCCUUGACAUGCUCGGAAUUUGCCAGAGAUGGUGAAGUGCCUUCGGGAGCCGAGACACAGGUGCUGCAUGGCUGUCGUCAGCUCGUGUCGUGAGAUGUUGGGUUAAGUCCCGUAACGAGCGCAACCCUUGUCCUUAGUUGCCAACAGGUAAAGCUGGGAACUCUAGGGAGACUGCCGGUGAUAAGCCGGAGGAAGGUGGGGAUGACGUCAAGUCCUCAUGGCCCUUACGGGUAGGGCUACACACGUGUUACAAUGGUCAGUACAGAGGGAAGCGAAGCCGCGAGGUGUAGCAAAUCCUAAGAAAGCUGAUCGUAGUCCGGAUUGGAGUCUGCAACUCGACUCCAUGAAGUUGGAAUCGCUAGUAAUCGCGGAUCAGAACGCCGCGGUGAAUACGUUCCCGGGCCUUGUACACACCGAGUAUA
rnacentral:rRNA from 1 species